CGUAUUAAUUGCUUAUACGAUUUUUUUGCACUUCCUUAAUUGUUUGGAUGAUAUGGUCAAUGAAAUGGUUGUAAUAUAGGAGAAAAAAAAUGAAGUUGGAGUUAGUAGAACAAUGUUGUAUGAGCCAACUCACACAAAGAAAGAUAGAAAGACCCCUGUGAGUGAUAAGGCAGCUGAAAAUAUGAGAAAAAUGAAGGAUUUGAUGGCGUCGCAACAAAGUACCCCUAAAGAGAACACGAAGGGGAAAAUAAACUGGUCAAAGAAUGACAUGUACUCUCAAGUGAUAGACGAGAACAAGCAUAGUGGUCGUUUUCGAGGUUUGAGAUUUGGGUACACUUCUAAAACUUGUGGCUCAACUUCCAAUAGUGAUGCAAGGUUGAGAGUGGCUUCAAACGAAGAAAGAAUGAGAGAGAAAGAUAAUUAUAUAGUGGUGUUAGAAGAUAAGUUGCUGCUUUUCUGACCCCUAUGAGCUGUAAUGGAUCUUUGCAUAAAUGUUCAAUUCAGGUUCUGCUGGUAUGCUAUUAAAGGAUGCAGAUUCUGUGGGGCUGCUGUAUUUGGCUCCAAAGCUUAAUUCUCCGUGCUGCUCCCAUUGAGCAUUUGAAAUGUUUUACUACUGCUAUUGCUGCUGUUGUAGUGUAUCUCGCUGCUAUUGGAAGCUGGCAGCUUGUUGUUCCCGUUAUUGUUGCUGCUCCUUGAGGCUUGUUUUGCUGUUUUUUUUGGGUUGUUAAUUUAUAACAGGUCUCAAUUGAUGGAUUGGUACUGCUGCUGUCCUUGACUUCGUUUUCUACUGCUGUUGGUACUCAGAAGUUGCCCAGGACAGCAAUAGUAUGUAGUCCUAUUUAUAGUUCAGUUGUUUUGUUGUGAUGUAGACCUUUUUUCAUUUAGUAUUGGCCUAUCCUUGGGGGGUUGUCCCUUGGAAUGUUUAGGCUUUUCUAGGGGGCUGUCCCUAGCUGUCCUUUGUGGCAGACUGUCAUUUGUUUUGUUCCUUCGGCUACUAUUUUAUGGUGUUAUGCAUGCUGCUGCUGUUUGGUGAUCAACAGUCAAGAAGCUGUUGUUUUGCUGCUGUUCUAUACGCUGCUAAUGGUUAGGGUGGUUGGGCAACUCCUUGAGGUUCAAGAUAUUGCUAGUGGAUUCUUAAAUCAAGUUUCUCCUCGAGCAAAUCAAGGGUCAUAUUUUGCAAGUCAUGAAAUAGAAGCUUCUUUAGGUAACAACCUCCUCCUCCUCCUCCUCCUCCUCCUCCUCUCUCUCUCUCUCUCUCUCUCUCUCUCUCUCUCUCUCUCUCUCAGUAUAUAUGGAUUGCAUAGAGAUUUUAGCUGUUAUAGGAAGAAUUGCAUAGAGAUUUCAUGUACUUGAACGUUUAAUUAUUUACGAUCAAAAAUGAUAUGUUUGGAGAUGAUGUUAGGAUAUUUGCUCAUAAGACAGCUUAGAUGAACUGAAACAUAUAUAUCGAUAGCUUCAUCUCAUAGCCCUCCAAGAUGUAGGAGUUGACAGAGAUACGGUAGUAAGCAAAGAGAGUAGUAGAAACAGUCCCCAAACAAAAAACAUAACUUUGUUGAGAAGAUAGGACACCACACACAACAGUCAACAACCACAACCCUUAGCCCUCCAAAAAAAUUUGAGUUGAAAAGUGAAAAAACAAAAAAUGAAGCUCUUACCUAGCUUGUAGUUCAACCCAUGUAAGAGGGACUGACCAACACAACAUAGCACAAAACACUGCUAAUGAUAUAUGAAAUGAUAUGUCAUUCUAAAGAAAAAAUCGAAUAUAUUAUUUAUCUCUUGUCAAUAACUUAGGACUUGCUUUUCUUUAAUUGUUUUUUCUAGUAGUGAGACUGUCAAGAAGUUAAUUCCAGUGAUUUGUAGUUGUGGUGUAUGAGAAAAGUGAUGGCUAGGUUGGUAGAGAAUCUCCAGAUAUAGUGCGGACAUGUAGAUGUGUGCUUUGUUUAUGCUUGUCUUCUCAAGGCGUAGUUGGUGUUAUGUGACACUGAUGGCUAGAAGGAAAUAAAUGCCUUCAUUUUUGCUGAAAAAUGCCUUCAUUUUUCAUUUUCCAAAUGGACCACAUUGACUGCAAGUGAGAUAGCAUCCUUAAUCAACUUUUCCUAUUUUUGAGCUGAUUAGUGCAUUCAGCCCUCUUUGCAUCCAGAACUUCCAUCUCAUACAGUUUGCUUACUACCUCAUCUUCAUUUCCAUCAACAUCCUAGACCCAUUAACUUGUUACAAUCCAGACUUUUUGUAUAAUCUUGCCUGAAAUUGACUGUGCAGUCUGCUCUCAUCUAUUUCUCUUUGGUUGCACGUACCAUUUCUUCCGUUUUAUGCUCAUAGUUGGAUCUAACUCCUAUGAUAUUUCAAGUUUCCUUGUUUGGCAUGUUUGUUUACUUAUGAUUCUUAUGGGAGACUUUAGUGUACAUUCACUUGAAGUCUGCAAUUUGUUGAAGGUUAAAGAUUAUAUUUAAUUUGUUCUAUUGCCAUUUUUAUUACAAGUAAUUGGACUAUCUAGACACAUUUUUGUGUUGUAUAUAUAUUUUCAUGGAGGUUUUGUAAAGAUGACAGCCUAUGAUAUUUUUGUGAUUUUUGUUGGACAAGUUUAGGCGAUGAUUUUUGUGGAUUAUUUUGUUAUGUGUUAUGGGAGAUUUGCUAAAGUACAAACAAUGUUGAUGGAUUUUUUUUGAACAAGUUUUAUUUUUGGGUAAAUCAGCUUGAAAUAAAAAAGAGGCUAACCAAAUAUACAGCCUACAAGGACAUACCUUAGGAGGAAAACAAAACAAAACAAAGAUUGAGAAAAUUGGAGACCUAAGCCAAGUGGCUACAUGAAGGACAAUAAUAAUGAGAUGAAGACAAAACAAAUAACAUCCCGAGAUACAUUUGUUUGCAAGCCAUCUACAAUGAGAUAGAACAUCAAUCCAAAACUGAAAUGAGAUUUGGAUCACCAAUGGGAGCAGCCCAAAGAUUUAACAGCAUCCAUUGGACUAAGUGAGGUAAAUGAGGAUGGAGGAACCACCGACUCCUGGAACAUCAACAAAACAACAGUAGUAGAGUAAUAAAAUAGCAGCAGCAAACAACAAGGCAAAAUAGCCACUGGACAAUAGCAAGGGCUGAGUUGAACAGCAGCUGGACAGUAGCUAGACAGUAGCGGCUUACACAAUUGGGAAUCGAAGCGAAAUAGCAGCAGCUUAUAUGGACUGGCAUCCACAACAGUAGGAACAAAAUAGUAGCCGAAAGGACCAGCAGAAUAGCAGCAGUAGCUUGUUGCUUUAUCACAGGUAGCAUGGUUUGCCAGAAGCAGCAACAGCAAAAGGUACUAAACAAGUAGCCAAGGAUUGGCAUCUACACAGCUAGGGACAAGCCCCCUAGCAAAAGCAUAAACUCUCUAAUGGACAACCCCCCAAGGAUAGGUAAAUAGCAGCAAAAGCAAUAGUUUGAUUUUAAUGGAAAGAAUCUUGCCUUCAAAUUUAGUGUUAUGUUAGCUUGGAGCGGGGUCGCAUACAACUUUGACGAGUAUGUGUACAUAGAAAUUUGACGAGUAUGUGUACAUAUAUAUAUAUAUAUAUGUGUGUGUGUGUGUGUGUGUGUGUGUGUGUGUGUAUAUAUAUAUAUAUAUAUGUGUGUGUGUGUGUGUGUGUGUGUGUGUGUGUAUAUACGUGUGUGUGUAUAUAUGUGUGUGUGUGUGUAUAUAUAUUAGCGACAAUGGAAGUGUUACUAAAAAAAUGGGCUAUGGCGACGGUUAUGCCAACAUAUAGUGACGUUUCAUUAGGCAAUCAAAAAUUACCCUCUCCCAAUGGUUAUAGGUGUCGCUAAACCAACCGUCACUAAAAAAAAAAAGUACCAACGCUCGACGAAACCGUUGCUAUACCUCUACAGUGACAGAUAUAUUGCAACGGUUUGGCUGACGGUUCUCCAACCGUUGGUAUAGCCUAAACGAUUAUACCUAAACGGGGUCUAUAUCGACGGUUUUUGGGUUCUUUGGCUACGCUUUCGACCGUUGCUAUAGAACGAUUUUCUUGUAGUGGCCUAACUAGUUAGAGAACCAAAAGGAAGUACUAAGAACACUCUUGAUGAGGAUUUUGGAGCCUUGAAAACGGAGGUCACCACUUUGAGCAUGCUUCCCCAAGUGGUGGAGGGUUUGUGAUGGUGUGAUCUCACAGCUCCAUAUGUGUUACCAAGAACAGAUGCCCACAAAGGCUUUUUGGGGUUGGUGUAUCUCUAAUUGAGGUUGGCCAUCGCGACUUGAUUGACGUGAAAGUUACGCCAGGUGCCAAGUUCCCCUAGAUUCUUCGGUUUGGUCACUUUGUCCCAAUUGACAGCAUAAGGUUUUCUAUGUCCCUGGUCGAGCUCUAAAGAAAGUCACGGUUAUUUUUGUCAAGGAGUUUGGUGACACUUGGGGGAAGGAAGUUGCAGUGCAUAACGUGACUAGGAAUUGAGGCAUUGACACAAGGGUGGUACCGGACACAAAGGAACGGUCUUUACCUUUAGAACCCGCGAGUUUGUUAUGCAUUGUAUCAAUGACAAGUUGGUAAGAAUGCAAGUUGGGUCUGCCGUGGUGAGUUGGACAACCCACGUAGGUCCCAAGAGAUAAUAUUUUGGGAAUAUUGAUGUGGUGGGCCGAACCGAAAUUGGGCCUACGGUUGGCCUACGAAAGGGAAGUGGGCGGAGCCAGAGUUUAGGCUCUCCUGGUUGGCCCUGCACAAGUAGCCUGGGCUGAGACCUAGCAUGGCAAAUAGCACAGCCAAGCGGAUGUGGGCCAGAUCGAAGGGUCCGACUCACUGGUUUACAGUCUGAUUUGCUGGUCCAACGUUCGAGUCUUUGGGUUAGGUCUAUUGGCCGGGUUGGUCGGUCGACUCGGUUUGACCCAUGUAGAGGCCACGUGGAGGUUCCUCUUGUUGUUUCCGGAGAAGCCUGGAAUGUCUAAGAAAGAAGGCAGUUACCUGUGACGUCACGGGCAUGUGUCGUGCGUCACGGUUGUUCCUUGCUUGGAGAGCAAGUACAAUGGCCUAUAUAAGUGGAGGGAUAAACCCUAAAGAAGGUACGCACCCCUGCAUCACUCUAAAGUACUCUCUCUCUCUCUCUCUCUCUCUCUCUCUCUCUCUCUCUCUCUCUCCUGUAUUCUAACUUGCUCGUCAAAGGGGCGAGAGGUGACCAACCACCUCACGCCUUGGUGCAGGUUCGCAACGGAGCAGAGGAGGGGUGAUCCGGAGAAGGUUUGAAGAGAAUCCAACACCCACAAUUGGUGCCGUUGUCGGGGAAUAAUUUCCCUAUACAUUGGUUUCUUGCAAAUUUCGGUGUUUCUUCUUUCAAAACGGUGGAAAUCCACGACGGCAAGAGGCCAUCUGAAGCCAUGGGCGGUGGUGGCAUCAAAGGACUCGAUGGUGCCACCCUCUAGGCCCAAAUCUAGGCGUCUAGUAGAACGUGACUAUAGUUCUGGGGCUACUCUCUCGGAUGAGAUUCCAGUGGUCUUGAGAAGUGACCCUUAAGUCCGAGAAUAUCUUCUCCAACUUAACAACUGAAUGUCCAAGAAGGACCGGAUGAUCAACGCUUUGCGGAAGGAUGUUCAAAUGGCGGCCAUGGUAAUCUGUCUCCAUUCUCCAUCGCCGAGUCGGGACCGUUAUCGGUCGCCUUCUCUGCGACAGGCUGAGGGGAGGAAUGGUCAGGUGAAGGAUCGCCUUGGCAAGCGGGUGGCCCCGUAUGAUGAGAAGAUCCCGAAUAUCUCUCCGGACCGAUCCCAGCCGCGAGGAGACUUCUGAGAUCGCCUUGCCCGGCCUAAUGAAAAUUGCCAACACGAGGUCCCGGAGGAGAGCUCUAGCUCGUUCUACAACUUGGCCUAUACAUCAAGUCACAAAACUGCUGUCGACCGGCAGCGCGAAUGAUGGGAUCGCGUACAAGAGGAGUGCGCGUGGCGUCAUGACCAAGAUCGAUAUUACAGUCACGAGCGAUCUCCUUCCCGUGGUCAUCGAAAACAUUGCCACCAGGAGGACGUUUAUGAGAGGCGCCCCGCUUGGGCUGCAAUCCUCUGGUAGUGGUUCCUACAAAGGUUCCCCCGACUAUAUUGGAAAUGGUGUUAGAGCAGCUGGUUUUGUACCUGUUCAUCGACGCGAUCAAAAACGCUUGUUCGCCAAAAAAAUUUACGGCACCAAAGUUUAAUCAAUACGACCCGAAGACAGAGGACGCGGUUGGCCAUCUGAUUCAUUAUCAACAGAUGAUGUCUCUCCACCAUGUCGACAACCCGUUAAUGUGCAAGACGUUUUUUUUUUUUUUUGGUAAAAUAGUUUGAAAUUGAAAAAGAGGCUAACCAAAUAUACAGCCUACAAGGGGCAUACCCAGGAGGAAAAAGAAAAAAGAAAACAAAACAAGAGUAAAUAAAAUUGUCUACGCCAAAUGGCUACAUGGGCUAAAUGAUAUGCGAUGUUUCCAAUCCAUCUAAUAAGAGGGAAGGAAAACAAUGCCAUAGUGACUAUAACAAAAUAGGAUAGAGUGAACUUGGAAGACCAAAAGGUCCAAGGUACAAUCCCCCAUGGAUUUCUGGAUCUGCACCUCACGAAACAAGGUCUAAACCCAGAUAGCUGUGAGAAACCACGGCUUAAACUCUCUUUGACAGUAGCCUUGUAUUCUGCUAUAUAACGCAACCUGCUAGGCAGCAAUCUGCUGGACUGCACACAAGCUGCAACAGUGAAACAGUAGCAACAAAAGAACAACCACAACACUUGGAGCUAUCUGGGUUUAGAAACUGAAUAGAACAACAGCACACAAAACAAUCUGCUGUAGUUGGGCUGACAAAACAGUAGUAGUCCUUGGUACCUCAAAGAUUAAGCCAAAUCUUUUGUAUCCAACAGUCCUUAGUUCUAUAUGACCAUCUCCAGUUAUGGGUAUCUGUAAACUCAUCCACAUGAUGAACCUAACAAAUUAGGCUCCUAAAGAUCAGCUCACGCCAGGUGCAUCUACAAGCCGAAGAGUAAAGUAGGGAAUGAAGAGUAAUCCAGGGGCAAGCUCCCUAGUAAGGCUUAAACAUCUCAAGGGACAACCCCCUUAGGUAACUGCUCCACUCAACCAAUGCAUUACCACUCAUCCAAUAAGAACAGACACAGUCACUCAUGCCACACAAAGAAACAAACGGGACUUAGAGCAACAAGAUCUCUUGGGUUGUGAAGAUGCAGUGCAACAAGUUGCUCAGCAGUGAGCCCUUAAGGCUUGAGUGCCCAGUAACUAAACUAGGCCAGAGGUGAUGUCGAAGCCCAUUUAGCCCAAAUGAUCUUGAAAUGAAUUGGGCUGACGCACAGAAACUUGAGUUCGGCCCAAAUAAGCAUUUUAUAUUUUUCAGCCUAAUACAUGUGUUGUUUUUGUUUUUCUAGGUGCAUGCUUGCUAGCAUUGGUUUCGAUCCCCACGUGCUGCAUAUAGGAGUCCCCCAUGUGCUGCAUCAGGAUGCCCAUAAUAUUUUCCCAAAAAAGGAUAAAGAAGCUUUCACACUUUUUUGGUAAUGAACAUUAAUAAAACCCAACUUUUAAUUCCUUAAGACAUAUGAGCCAGCCACAUGCUCUUUAAUUUUCCAUGCAAAGCCCACUAAGGACCACACAUCAAUAUAUUAGUAAUUGAAAAUCCCAACAGCACCGUAAAAUGAUAAAUGAUAUAGCUGACUAUGGCCCCGUUCCGGAACUAAAAAUAAGUAUUUAUUUUAUAAAAAAGCAAUUUCAAGCUAAGAAAUAAUGUAUUUACGCAAAUAAUUUUCUUAGCAAUAUGGAUCUUGUUUGAUAAAUUUCAUCGAGAUCUUUUAUACGGUGCAAAAAUAAUAAUAAAAAUAAUUUUUUAUUUAAAUUACUUUUAAGUUUGAAAAUGUAAAAUAAAUACUUAUUUUUUAAGAAGGUGUUCUGAAACGGAACCUAAGCUCAUACACACUUAUCCCAAUGCCAUAUUCUCCCAUGGGUCAUAAACCACUGGUUUGGCAGCCAUGGUUUUCAAAAACCGGCUUUGAGAUGCCCAGGCUCACACAAUACGUGAGCUACUCUCUGUUCUUCCCCAAACGAGAGAUGGAACCAAAACCAACCACCAGUUUGAGUAGUCCAUGGUAUACAUAGUCGGUUUUGAGAUGCCUAGUCUCAACAAGAGUGUGAUAUCCAGUGCAAAUCCGACGGAUUGAAGAACUCAAAACCCAUAGAACACACCAGUAAAUCUUCCCUUUGUCGUGCCUAGUCAAGGCUGGAAUAGUAGCGGACGCCACCAUUUCCGGCGAGCUAGGAUAUAUCAGCGCCGACGUGGUCCUCCGCCGUGUAAAUUGCCCACAACCAGGUAAGCUCUGGAGCAACCUGCUAAUCCCUCUACUGGCCGAGCACAAUUCCGGCGAACAGAUCGAACACGUAGAACUCUUGAGCUCCGUCCAGAAAACCCCUAAAUAGGGCUGAUUAAAACCUAAACCCCAAAACAGAGGGGUCCAAACACUGCAGAUCAAUAGGAAUGGAAACCCACCUAGCAAUUUCCCCUUUGCUUGUUGCCAUCCGACCCUUCGGCAAGAUGUGGUGGCUAAUAUGAGACCCUUGAUUUGCUGAUAUUCUCUCUGUAAAUUCGUGGAUCUGCUCCUAGCGGAGAAAGUAUGGUGUAUUGUUCAAAUGAUGAACAAAUAGCAAGUAGUGAUCUGAUUAGAGCUUGAAAAUUACCUCUAAAUCAGAUUGAACGAUAGAGAUUUGCUGGGGGAGUGCAUUCUCUCUCUAGGGUGUAGAGAGAGAAGCUCUCGACCCUCUUGACAAAGUACAAUUUUGCAUUGAGAAUCCUGCAAUUUGUUCCCUUAGGAAAGGAUAUCCCAUAUAUAUGCGAAGUAUUACAGUACAUGAAUAAACUAAGGGCUUAAGUCAUCGAGCAAAAACUCAGGUGAGAGUCGGCUCCUGC